GGGCGGUUAGCUCAGUUGGUUAGAGCGCCGUGCUCACACCGCGGAGGUCGUUGGUUCGAAUCCAAUACCGCCCA
rnacentral:tRNA from 1 species